CCACCACUCGCUUACCCUCUCUUUCCAAUUCCAUCCACUCCCUAUUAAGAUAGAUUCGGAUAGAGAGUGGAGUGUGGAAAUUAAUUAUUGACAAGUAAUCCCCUUCCUACCUCUUUGUUAGUUAUUCUUCUCUUUCAUCGCCCUCUCUUUAAUUACCCAUCAUCAUCAACAAUAAUGUCUCACCAUUGAAUAUUAUACGCCCUCCAGAAAACAAACCCAUCGCCAUUCUUCUUCUUGCACUCCUUUCUUUAACUUCUUGAAUACAGUAAUAAGUAUGAACAUGGCUUCAUCAUUCCCCUGUAUCUCCUGUUCUUGCACUGGAUUCCUCAGCUGAAGCACCUUUGAAAAUGAAGAGA
rnacentral:misc_RNA from 1 species